UAUAAGAAGAUUUCGCUCUUAACAUCAAUUAGUUUGUGAAAUUUCUUUCCGGUGUACAAGUACUUUUAAAAAUAUUUUAGUGUGUAGUAUGAGAGCUUCAAAUUCGGUUUAUCAAGGCAAAAAUAUAAUUUAGCAUGGCACAAUAUACUUUUGGCGAAAUAAAAAUCUUUAGUGAUACGAUAGAUGAUAUGGAAAUUAUAAGGACUAUGACUAGUACGGAAGAUCCAGAAAGAGGCUUUUAUGUUGCGGAUAUCGGUAAUGUUAUUCAGAAGCAUCAAGAAUGGAUUACCAAGAUGCCCAGAGUCGUUCCACACUUUGCAAUUAAAUGUAAUCCGGAUCCAACGGUAAUUAAAGUUCUCGCGGCUUUAAAUGCCGGUUUUGAUUGUGCAUCCAAGCAAGAAAUAGAGCAAGUAAUGCGACACGGAGUGCAUGGCUCUCGAAUUAUUUUUGCGCACCCAACCAAAUAUCCGUCUCACAUAGAAUACGCUAAAAAGAUGGGUGUCGAGCAGAUGACAGUGGACAGUGAGAGCGAGUUGUUUAAGAUUAAAGAUCUCUUUCCCGAAGCUAAAAUUGUUAUACGUAUACGUUGCGAUUCGAAGAAUACGCCGAUAAUACUGGGAUUGAAAUUCGGCACCGAAUUGGGUGAGGAAACUGUGCGUUUGAUACAGCUUGCGAAACAACUAGAUCUGAAUCUACAUGGCUUCAGCUUUCAUGUCGGUAGUCCGUGCAGAGAGAUGGAGGCUUACGGAAGAGGGAUCGAAUUGUGCAAACAAUUAAUUAACACCUCCAAGGCGAUUGGACACGAUAACGUGCAAUUGAUCGAUAUCGGCGGUGGAUUUCCUGGCGAGACCGGAACGAAUGUCGAUAUGUUUGCCACUAUUAUCAACGAUGCCAUACAGGAUCUAGAUUCUAGCAUAAAAAUCAUUAGCGAACCAGGAAGUUAUUAUGUAACUUCCAGUUUUACUUUGGUUACGUAUAUGCAUUCCAUAAAAAUUAGUCUGAAAAAUAGCAAAACAAUGAGAAUGUAUUAUAUAAAUUCCGGCGUAUUCAGUUCCUUCAUAGAUGAAUUGUUAGGUCUGCAAGCUAGAGUCCCGCUAUUACUUUCCGAGCCAAUGAGCGACGAAAAAUUUCUUUCAAGUAUAUGGGGACCGACCGCCGACUCAUAUGAUUUAAUUGUCAAGGAAGUGAUGUUGCCGGAGCUUCAUAUAGGCGAUUGGUUGGCUUGGAAAGAUAUGGGUGCUUACUCUAUAGCCAUGUCUUUUACAUUCAAUGGAUUCCCAAUCCCGAUUGUGAUACCAAUCAUUAGAAAGAGUCAAUGGGAGAAUUUUAAAGCGCAAAUUGAUUCAAUAUAGGAAUUUGCUUCAUUCUGCAAAAAUCAUUGGGCCAAACAACUUAAUGAGAAUAAUGGAAUGAAUUCUUCUAAUAAAAUAUAAGUUUAGUACCACGAUGUUUUGAAAAAGGAGAAGAAAAAGAGACAAAGAAAGAAAGAAAGAAAGAUGAUGAUAGAGAGCAGAAUAAAUAAUACACAGCCGAUGCUAUGGACAAUCAGUCACCCUGAACGUGUCAUACAGUAAGUUGACAAAUAAUGAACGUAUCAAUAAAUUUAUACGUCUUUAUAAGUUAGCAGUUCGAUUAACUAAAGUCUCUGGGAUCGACUAGUUCAAACAAACUAUAAUUAAUCUUCGUCAAAAGCUGUGAUUAAAUUAAGGAUCUAUCAUCUAUCUCAUCUGUGAUCUAUAAGUCCAGGAAUAUCAAUAUUCAUUGUAAUAUACAUAACGACAGUUGGAAAUCAACAUAUUAAAAAUCGCAAGUAUUAUUUAAAUU